rnacentral:misc_RNA from 1 species
GAUGAAGAACGUAGCAAAAUGCGAUAAGUAAUGUGAAUUGCAGAAUUCAGUGAAUCAUCGAAUCUUUGAACGCACAUUGCGCCCGCCAGUAUUCUGGCGGGCAUGCCUGUUCGAGCAUCAUUUCAACCCUCAAGCCCUCGGGUUUGGUGUUGGGGAUCGGCGAGCCUUUCUGGCAAGCCGGCCCCGAAAUCUAGUGGCGGUCUCGCUGCAGCCUCCAUUGCGUAGUAGUAAAACCCUCGCAACUGGAACGCGGCGCGGCCAAGCCGUUAAACCCCCAACUUCUGAAUGUUGACCUCGGAUCAGGUAGGAAUACCCGCUGAACUUAAGCAUAUCAAUAAGCGGAGGA